rnacentral:rRNA from 1 species
CCUACGGGAGGCAGCAGUAAGGAAUCUUGCGCAAUGGGGGAAACCCUGACGCAGCGACGCCGCGUGGGCGAUGAAGGCCUUCGGGUCGUAAAGCCCUGUCAGGUGGGAAGAAACAUGUUGAUGUGAAUAACAUCAACAUCUGACGGUACCACCAGAGGAAGCACCGGCUAACUCCGUGCCAGCAGCCGCGGUAAUACGGAGGGUGUAAGCGUUGUUCGGAAUUACUGGGCGUAAAGCGCGUGUAGGCGGUUGAGCAAGUCAGAUGUAAAAUCCUUCCGCUCAACGGGGGAAGGGCAUUUGAAACUACUCACCUAGAGUACGGGAGAGGAGAGUGGAAUUCCCGGUGUAGGGGUAAAAUUCGUAGAUAUCGGGAGGAACACCGGUGGCGAGGGCGGCUCUCUGGCCCG